AUGGAAGUGACGGGGGACACGACGCCGUCCUGCUCCGGCGGCCUGGCGGCGCUCGCGGCCAGCCUCGCAAGCCGCCUCGCCGUCACGGUGAAGAACCGAUCGUCGUUUCUCUACGCGGUUCUCUUUCCGUCUCAAAAGCAGGCGAUGGAAGCGACGGGUGUGCCCUACUGUAGAGUGACGGGGGACACGACGCCGUCCUGCUCCGGCGGCCUGGCGGCGCUGGCCGCCAGCCUCGUGAGCCGCCUCGCCGAGGAUGACAACGCGGGGAGCAGCAACCUGGUGUUAUCGCCGCUGUCCAUCUACGCGGCGCUCGCGCUCCUGGCCGCCGGCGCCCGGGGCGCCACCCAGGACGAGAUACUCGGCGCCCUCGGCGCGCCGUCCCGCGCCGCGCUGGACGAGUUCCUCUCCGGCGUGGCGGAGGACGCGCUCGAGGACCACUCCGAGUCCGGCGGGCCGCGCGUCGCGUUCGCGUGCGGCGUCUGGACCGACCUCACCUGUCCGCUGAAGCCAGCCUACCGCCACGCCGCCGCGAGCGCGUACAAGGCGGACGCCAACACCGUCGACUUCCGCGACAAUCCGGAGGCGGCACGGGGUCAGAUCAACGCGUGGGUGGCGCAGGCCACGGGAAACCUGAUCGGCUCCGUCCUUGGCCCGGGAUCCAUAACGCCGUACACCCGCGUCGUGCUCGGCAACGCUAUAUACUUCAAGGGCGAGUGGGAGGAUCCGUUCUACAAGGAGGCCACCGCCAACAAGCUGUUCCACCGUCUCGACGGCCGCACCGUCGACGUGCCCUUCAUGCAGAGCUGGAGCUCCCAGUUCAUCGCCGUGCACAAAGGGUUCAAG
rnacentral:rRNA from 1 species